GUGGGGAAUAUUGGGCAAUGGGGGAAACCCUGACCCAGCGACGCCGCGUGAGGGAAGAAGGCCUUAGGGUCGUAAACCUCUGUUGUGUGGGAAGAAGAGCGUGACGGUACCACACGAGGAAGUCCCGGCUAACUACGUGCCAGCAGCCGCGGUAAUACGUAGGGGACGAGCGUUGUCCGGAUUUACUGGGCGUAAAGGGCGCGUAGGCGGUCAGUGAAGUCAGCUUGGAAAUGGUUUGGCUUAACCGGAUCAUGCGGUUGAAACUGGAUGGCUGGAGUGGUGGAGAGGAAAGUGGAAUUCCCUGUGUAGCGGUGAAAUGCGUAGAUAUUGGGAAGAACACCGGUGGCGAAGGCGACUUGCUGGCCAGCAACUGACGCUGAGGCGCGAAAGCCAGGGGAGCAAACGGGAUUAGAUACCCCAGUAGUCC
rnacentral:rRNA from 1 species